rnacentral:rRNA from 1 species
UACGUAGGGUGCAAGCGUUGUCCGGAAUUAUUGGGCGUAAAGGGCGCGUAGGCGGCUUGGCAAGUGGAUGGUGAAAUCCCUCGGCUUAACCGAGGAACUGCCGUCCAAACUGCUUCGCUUGAGACCGGGAGAGGUGAGUGGAAUUCCCAGUGUAGCGGUGAAAUGCGUAGAUAUUGGGAGGAACACCAGUGGCGAAGGCGGCUCACUGGACCGGUACUGACGCUGAUGCGCGAAAGCGUGGGGAGCAAACGGG